rnacentral:rRNA from 1 species
ACUACGGGUGGCAGCAGUGGGGGAUAUUGCACAAUGGGGGGAACCCUGAUGCAGCGACGCCGCGUGGGUGAAGGAGCGUUUCGGCGCGUAAAGCCCUAUCGGCAGGGAAGAAGAUGACGGUACCUGACCAAGAAGCCCCGGCUAACUACGUGCCAGCAGCCGCGGUAAUACGCAGGGGGCAAGCGUUAUCCGGAUUUACUGGGUGUAAAGGGGGCGCAGACGGCAAUGCAAGCCAGGAGUGAAAGCCCGGGGCCCAACCCCGGGACUGCUCUUGGAACUGCAUGGCUAGAGUAAAGGCGGGGCAGGAGGAAUUCCUAGGGUAGCGGUGAAACGCGUAGAUAUUAGGAGGAACACCGGUGGCGAAGGCGGCCUGCUGGACUGUGACUGACGUUGAGGCCCGAAGGCGUGGGGAGCAAACAGGAUUAGAUACCCGGGUAGUC